CCCUUAGAUGUUCUGGGCCGCACGCGCGCUACACUGAUGCAUUCAACGAGUCUAAAACCUGCUCUGAUAGGGGUGGGUAAUCUUUUGAAUGUGCAUCGUGAUUGGGAUAGAUGAUUGCAAUUUUUCAUCUUCAACGAGGAAUGCCUAGUAAACGCAAGUCAUCAGCUUGCAUUGAUUACGUCCCUGCCCUUUGUACACACCGCCCGUCGCUCCUACCGAUUGAAUGAUCCGAUGAAUAUCAUGGAUUGAGGAUGCAAGCAGGUUCGCCUGUCUUCAUCUUCGAGAAGUGAAGUAAAUCUUAUCAUUUAGAGGAAGGGGAAGUCGUAACA
rnacentral:rRNA from 1 species